rnacentral:misc_RNA from 1 species
GUAUUUUCCCUUCUUCCAUUUUAUAUCACAACAUUCAACAGGUGGAGAACACUAACCCCCUAUUUAGAAUGAGUGCAACAUGAUUUAUUAAUGGAUCGUCUCAUAUUGUAUUGUAUCGUAUGACUUUUAUUGUUAACAUGUUUAGAAAGAUGGUCGAGUAAAGGAUAAUUUAAUAACCUUUUCUUAUUUGAUUAAAUGAUAUGGUAUGGUGUAAUGAAUAUGAAAAUUACUAAAAUACCCUAAUUGCUGUUUUAAAUAUAAAAAGAAUUAUUUUAAAUUUUGCUUGCACUGCAGCACAUACAAUCUAUAUUGCAAAGGGUUUAAAUUAUUGAAAAUGCAUCUAAAAGUCCUUAAUCUUUUGUUUAUCACAUAAUUUACCUUCUAAUAUAUGUGGAAAACUUUGUUUAAAAUUAUUAAUAGAAACAGUAGUAUUAUCAAAAUCAAUAAAAAAAAUUUAGAUGAAAAAGUCAUUUAAAAU